rnacentral:rRNA from 1 species
UAGCCGUAAACGAUACUCGCUAGGUGUCGGCCACGGUGCGACCGUUGUCGGUGCCGUAGGGAAGCCGUGAAGCGAGCCACCUGGGAAGUACGGCCGCAAGGCUGAAACUUAAAGGAAUUGGCGGGGAGGCACCACAACGGGUGGAGCUUGCGGUUUAAUUGGAUUCAACGCCGGAAAUCUUACCGGGACCGACAGCAACAUGAAGGCCAAGCUGAAGACUUUGCCGGAUUAGCUGAGAGGAGGUGCAUGGCGUAGUCGUGU